rnacentral:rRNA from 1 species
AUGGAGUCUUUGUGUGUCGGGGGGGUGAGUGCGUGCGUGUGUGUGUGUGCGUGUGUGUGUGUCGCGGGGUCCUCUGUGGCGGAUAGGCCACCAACGAUGGGGUGCGAGAGAGAAAAUCCCGUAGAGAGGGAAGAGAAGUCGAAGAAGGAUUGGCCGGUGCUGCCCGCUGGCGUCAAGUUCGACCCCACGGAUCAGGAGCUGAUCGAGCACCUUGAGGCCAAAGUGAGUGCUGACAGCGCGAGAUUUCAGUCUCUCAUCGAUUUGUUCAUACCAACCAUCGACAGCGAGCACGGCAUAUGCUACACGCAACCUGAGAAACUUCCAGGUAUCACACUGAGUGGCCUAAGGAAGCAUUUCUUCCAGCGCAAUUCCAGGGCGUUCAAACGGGGCACGUGGACGCGUCGCAAGAUACAGUCGGAGUGCGGCAUGCAUGCGUUAUGGCACAAGACCGGCAAUACCUUGCCGGUGAUGGUCAACGGCCGGCAGACGGGCAGCAAAAAAGGUUCUGGUGCUGCACACCAACAAGAACUUCGACCAACAGAGGACCAACUGGGUGAUGCACCAGUACCACCUCGGGGACCUGGAGCAAGAGAAGGAGCGAGAGCUGGUCCUCUGCAAGAUUUUCUACCAGACGAACACUAG